GACGAACGCUGGCGGCAUGCCUAACACAUGCAAGUCGAACGGAAACGCCCUGAUUGCUUGCGCUUCCCGAGUGGCGAUCGCGUGCGUAACACGUGAGUAUCCUGCUCUACACUUUCGGAUAGCUUCAGGUAACUGGGGCUAAUCCCAGAUAGCAUCCCACGUACCAUUGUGGGCGUUGGAUCGUCUCAGCGGUCGGGGAUGGACGCGCGGCUUAUCAGCUAGUUGGUGGGCUAGUGGCUUACCAAGGCUUUGACGGGUAGGCGGCCUGGGAGGGUGACCGGCCACAUUGGGACUGAGGGACGGCCCAGACUCCUACGGGAGGCAGCAGUGGGGAAUAUUGCCCAAUGGGCGGGAGCCUGAUGCAGCAACGCCGCGGGCGGGAUGACGGCCUUCUGGUUGUGAACCGCUUUCGCCUGUGACGAAGCGUGAGUGACGGUAAUGAGUAAAGAAGCACCGGCUAACUACGUG
rnacentral:rRNA from 1 species